GCUGCGAUCAAGUGGAAGUGUAGAGUGGAAGUUACCUGGCGGUACACACUGAGGUGAGCUGGCAAAAGAGCAUGAUGUGGUGAUUAUAAGUUUGAAACGUCCCAUUAUCAAAGCACAGCCAUCGUUAUUACUUACAGUAGGAGGAGACACGCCUCAAACAAUCGCUCAUAAGUCCAAAAUUGUAAAUUAAAAUGCGACAUUUGUUAGUAGCCAGGCGCAUUGAGAGGAUGUUAGCAUACUACCGCUACCAGAAAGGAUUUAAACGUACCAACAUACACAACUAUUGAGAAGCAACCAAAAGCACAGGGAAAGCCACAGUCUCCUUUACUUUGGACCAACAAGACGUAGCCGAGGAGACGCGGGGGUCACGAGGGUCAAUGGCACAACAAGCUCAAGCUGGAAAAUGAGUCGAGGCCCAAAUUGCACAGACACCGGUUUAAGGGUCUAACAUGUCACAUAAGAGGUCUGGUAAGAUGUGAUGUCAUUCUACCAGAGUGAAAUUAAAGGCUGCAGGCCCCUGUCCAGACUGAUGUAUGGCCUAUUACCCUAUUACUGGACUCGAACUUGAA